UCUUUCUUCCUUUCCUCUCUGAGUUUUUCAUCUGCAACAAUGGUGGUUGAGUGAAAUAGAUCGAGUGAGGUUUAUGUUCAACUACUUGUGUUUAGAGCUUAGUAGAGAUUUUGUGACAUACAGGUUGAAAACAAGGAGCUGUUUGUUGAAUACAACCAAUUGAUAGUUGAAUACAAGGAAAACAAGGAUUCUGUUAGAAGAGAUCGUCAAAAUGUUAACGAGUCAGGAAAGUGAAUAGGUUUGGAAGUUUGGGAGAAUGGGUUUGUGUCUGAUUUGAAAUUGGCAAUUUGAGUCGGGGGUUGGGUUUUGUAGUUUGAUUUCGGGGUCUCUGUCAGUUUAGAGAUGGAGCAGAUGAAGAUGUGUUUAAUCUUGAAACCCAGAAGAAAUUAGAAGUGGGUUUUUCUCAUUUGAAUAUUUAAUAGGGGUUAUGUGGAGAUAGAGGUCGAGAAGCUACAUAAAUUGUUGGUAAUUUGAGUUUGAGAUGAAUUUAGGGUUCUUCAUGAGAUGUUGCAGAUUUAUGGGGAAUUCAUGUAUUACAGAGAAGAUUGAGAAUCCGGUGCUGUUAUUGAAUUCAUAUGAAGGGAGAUGGUCUUAGAAGCUACAGGAAUCAGGGAAAGAGAACAAUAAUGGUUGUUGAGAUGAGUUUGCAGUUUAGCAGGUGCAGUGGUUGUGGAGACAAUGAAGCUGCAGUUCAGUGAGAUGGUGCAAGGUAGUGAUGAUGGAGUUUGUAAUGGUUUUGAGUAGUGGAUGUGUUGUUGUUGGUGGUUAAGAAGAAGUUGUUCCUGCAAUGAGUCUGUGAUUGUGCUGGUAACAGUGAAGGAAUUGAUGGUGGUUUGCCUGCGAGUUAUGCGAAGUUUGGUUGUUGUGACUGAAUGGAUACUUGGCGUCUAUGUAUGAAUGUUGUUAUUGAAUUGCGAAUGCAUAACUGCAGUUGGAAGCAAGAGCUGAGAAAUUGUUGUUGAAUGAAAUAAUAGAUGAAUGUUAGGAUUUAAUGUAGGGAGACCGGAAGAAUGUGUGCUGCUGAGUUUAUAAGAUUGCAGGGGAGAAUUUGUGUUGAGUUGAUUUGCAGGCAAGGGUUAGUUGUACCAUGAAUGGUUGGUGGUAAUGGAGUUGCUGCUUUGUGGUAUUGAGUUAAAUUGCCAGAGAAAUUGAAGAAAUCGUGGUGUUUGAUACAGAAACUGAACUGUGCUGCUGUGUAGAUGCAAUUGCAGGAGAUGGAGUUGUUGUGACUGAAGUGAUGAAUAUGGAAGGGAGAAAAGGACUGCAACAGAUGAAUGAGUAUGAAGACCAGAUGUAUGCUUAGGAUUUGAAUCUGUAAGCUGAUGGGUUGAAGGAAUUGAAUUGCAACAGUACAGUUCAAAUGGCUUGAUUGAAUUGCAGGAGAUAUGCUGAGAUGAACCAGGUAAUGAUGCUGGUGGCUUCAGACAGAGUGUUCGAGUAUUCUGUGUGUGUGUUGUGUGAAAUGCUUGUGGUGUUUAAUGAUAGAUGGAAGGGAUGUAGAGCACCAGAGUUGCAUUACAGGGAGGGAAGUUGCAGGAUGAAGCGCCAUCAUGUGGCAACGUUAGGCAUAGGCAGUGUGAAUGGCUCAGGCCUUGGCAAGUUGCUGGGUGAGAUGAGUUAACUGCAGUUAAAGAGUUUGAGUCAAGUGGGAGGGUAUUUUGGAGAGAAUUAACUGCGUUUUUUUGCCGAACUGUUUUCUCGGCCAAAAUAUGACCAAUUUGUAAACCAAAUUAUAAAGUUUGAUCGUUUUGUAACUGAAUUACCAAAAGUAUGACCAUUUUGUAAAUGUCCCAAUUACAAUCUCACAAAUCACAAUCUGUAAUGUAUAC